AUUGAACGCUGGCGGCAGGCCUAACACAUGCAAGUCGAGCGGAGCGGCGGACGGGUGAGUAAGGAAUAGGAAUCUGCCUGGCAGUGGGGGAUAACAUCCGGAAACGGGCGCUAAUACCGCAUACUAUCAGAUGAGCCUAGGUCGGAUUAGCUAGUUGGUGGGGGAAAGGCCUACCAAGGCAACGAUCCGUAACUGGCCUGAGAGGAUGAUCAGUCACACUGGAACUGAGCAACGUUCCAGACUCCUACGGUAGGCAGCAGUGGGGAAUAUUGGGCAAUGGGCGAAAGCCUGAGCCAGCCAUGCCGCGUGUGUGAAGAAGUUCUUCGGAUUGUAAAGCACUUUCAGUUGGGAGGCGUUACCCACAGAAUAAGCACCGGCUAACUUCGUGCCAGCCGCCGCGGUAAUAC
rnacentral:rRNA from 1 species